rnacentral:rRNA from 1 species
GAUCAUGGCUCAGGACGAACGCUGGCGGCGCGCCUAACACAUGCAAGUCGAACGAGAGAGAAGGAGCUUGCUUCUUCGAUCGAGUGGCGAACGGGUGAGUAACGCGUAUCCAACCUGCCCAUCACUUGGGAAUAACCUUGCGAAAGUAAGACUAAUGCCCAAUGAUAUCCCACGAAGGCAUCCGAAUGGGAUUAAAGAUUUAUCGGUGAUGGAUGGGGAUGCGUCUGAUUAG